GAUGAACGCUGGCGGCGUGCUUAACACAUGCAAGUCGAACGAAGCACUUUAUUUGAUUUCCUUCGGGACUGAUUAUUUUGUGACUGAGUGGCGGACGGGUGAGUAACGCGUGGGUAACCUGCCUUGUACAGGGGGAUAACAGUUGGAAACGGCUGCUAAUACCGCAUAAGCGCACAGCAUCGCAUGAUGCAGUGUGAAAAACUCCGGUGGUAUAAGAUGGACCCGCGUUGGAUUAGCUAGUUGGUGAGGUAACGGCCCACCAAGGCGACGAUCCAUAGCCGAGAUGGGAGGGUGACCGGCCACAUUGGGACUGAGACACGGACCAAACUCCUACGGGAGGCAGCAGUGGGGAAUAUUGCACAAUGGGCGAAAGCCUGAUGCAGCGACGCCGCGUGAGAGAAGAAGUAUUUCGGUAUGUAAAGCUCUAUCAGCAGGGAAGAUAAUGACGGUACCUGACUAAGAAGCACCGGCUAAAUACGUG
rnacentral:rRNA from 1 species